rnacentral:rRNA from 1 species
CAAGCGGUGGAUGAUGUGGUUUAAUUCCAUGCAACGCCAAAAACCUUACCCACCUUUGACAUGUACGGAAUUUUCCAAAAAUGGAUUAGUGCUCUAAAGAAACCGUAACACAGGUGCUGCAUGGCUGUCGUCAGCUCGUGUCGUGAGAUGUUGGGUUAAGUCCCGCAACGAGCGCAACCCUUGUCAUUAGUUGCUACAUUUAGUUGGGCACUCUAAUGAGACUGCCGGUGACAAACCGGAGGAAGGUGGGGAUGACGUCAAGUCCUCAUGGCCCUUAUAGGUGGGGCUACACACGUCAUACAAUGGCUGGUACAAAGGGUUGCCAACCCGCGAGGGGGAGCUAAUCCCAUAAAACCAGUCCUAAUCCGGAUCGCAAUCCGCAACUCCACUGCCUGAAGUCCGAAUCCCUUGUAAUCCUGGAUCAAAAUGUCACCGUGAAUACCUUCCCCGGUCUUGUACACACC